rnacentral:rRNA from 1 species
AGAGUUUGAUCAUGGCUCAGAACGAACGCUGGCGGCGCGCUUAAUACAUGCAAGUCGAACGAGAAGGUGUAGCAAUACACUUGUAAAGUGGCGAACGGGUGAGGAAUACAUGGGUAACCUACCCUCGAGUGGGGAACAACCAGCCGAAAGGUUGGCUAAUACCGCGUACGCUUCCGGAUCUUCGGAUUUGGAAGGAAAGUCAUACCGUGGGUAUGACGCUCAAGGAUGGGCUCAUGUCCUAUCAGCUUGCUGGUAGGGUAACGGCCUACCAAGGCUCCGACGGGUAGCUGGUCUGAGAGGACGAUCAGCCACACUGGCACUGCGACACGGGCCAGACUCCUACGGGAGGCAGCAGUAAGGAAUAUUGCGCAAUGGGCGAAAGCCUGACGCAGCGACGCCGCGUGGGGGAUGAAGGUCUUCGGAUUGUAAACCCCUUUCGGGAGGGAAAAUGGAACGAGCAAUCGUUCGGAUGGUACCUCCAGAAGCAGCCACGGCUAACUUCGUGCCAGCAGCCGCGGUAAUACGAAGGUGGCAAGCGUUGUUCGGAUUUACUGGGCGUACAGGGAGCGUAAGCGGUUUGGUAAGCCCUCUGGGAAAUCUUCGGGCUUAACCCGGAAAGUUCAGAGGGGACUGCCAGGCUAGAGGACGGGAGAGGAGCGCGGAAUUCCCGGUGUAGCGGUGAAAUGCGUAGAGAUCGGGAGGAAGGCCGGUGGCGAAGACGGCGCUCUGGAACGUUUCUGACGCUGAGGCUCGAAAGCGUGGGGAGCAAACAGGAUUAGAUACCCUGGUAGUCCACGCCCUAAACGAUGGAUACUAAGUGUCGGCGGGUUACCGCCGGUGCCGCAGCUAACGCAGUAAGUAUCCCGCCUGGGGAGUACGGCCGCAAGGUUGAAACUCAAAUGAAUUGACGG